AGCGCACACGGUGGAUGCCUAGGCGGUCAGAGGCGAUGAAGGACGUGGUAGCCUGCGAAAAGUGUCGGGGAGCUGGCAACAAGCUUUGAUCCGGCAAUAUCCGAAUGGGGAAACCCACUGCUUCGGCAGUAUCUUGCAGUGAAUUCAUAGCUGCUUGAAGCGAACCCGGUGAACUGAAAUAUCUAAGUAACCGGAGGAAAAGAAAUCAACCGAGAUUCCCUGAGUAGUGACGAGCGAACGGGGAACAGCCCUUAAGCUGGAAUGGCUUUAGAAAAACAAUCUGGAAAGAUUGGCCAUAGAAGGUGAUAGCCCUGUAUUUAAAAGGGCCACUCCAGUGAAGACGAGUAGGGCGGGGCACGUGAAACCCUGUCUGAAUAUGGGGGGACCAUCCUCCAAGGCUAAAUACUCCUGACCGACCGAUAGUGAACCAGUACCGUGAGGGAAAGGCGAAAAGAACCCCGGAGAGGGGAGUGAAAUAGAUCCUGAAACCGUGUGCGUACAAGCAGUAGGAGCUCGCAAGAGUGACUGCGUACCUUUUGUAUAAUGGGUCAGCGACUUACUGUUCGUGGCAAGCUUAACCGUAUAGGGGAGGCGAAGGGAAACCGAGUCUGAUAAGGGCGCAUAGUCGCGGGCAGUAGACCCGAAACCGGGUGAUCUAGUCAUGGCCAGGGUGAAGGUGCCGUAACAGGUACUGGAGGCCCGAACCCACGUCUGUUGCAAAAGACGGGGAUGAGCUGUGAUUAGGAGUGAAAAGCUAAUCGAACCCGGAGAUAGCUGGUUCUCCUCGAAAGCUAUUUAGGUAGCGCCUCGGACGAAUACUACUGGGGGUAGAGCACUGUUAUGGCUAGGGGGUCAUCGCGACUUACCAAACCAUUGCAAACUCCGAAUACCAGUACGUACUAUCCGGGAGACACACGGCGGGUGCUAACGUCCGUCGUGAAAAGGGAAACAACCCAGACCCACAGCUAAGGUCCCAAAUUCACUGCUAAGUGGAAAACGAUGUGGAAAGGCAUAGACAGCCAGGAGGUUGGCUUAGAAGCAGCCACCCUUUAAAGAAAGCGUAAUAGCUCACUGGUCGAGUCGGUCUGCGCGGAAGAUUUAACGGGGCUAAGCAGUGAACCGAAGCUUGGGGUGCGUAAAACUUCGGUUUUAUGCGCGGUAGAGGAGCGUUCCGUAAGCCUGCGAAGGUGGAUUGAGAAGUCUGCUGGAGGUAUCGGAAGUGCGAAUGCUGACAUGAGUAACGAUAAUGCGGGUGAAAAGCCCGCACGCCGAAAGCCCAAGGUUUCCUUGCGCAACGUUAAUCGACGCAGGGUUAGUCGGUCCCUAAGGCGAGGGCGAAAGCCGUAGUCGAUGGGAAGCAGGUUAAUAUUCCUGCACCUCGCGUGAGUGCGAUGGAGGGACGGAGAAGGUUAGGUGUACCGGGCGUUGGUUGUCCCGGGGAAAGGCGGUAGGUUUGGAUCUUUGGCAAAUCCGGGAUCCUUUAAGACCGAGCACCGAGACGAGCCUUUAUGGCGAAGUCACUGAUACCACGCUUCCAGGAAAAGCUCCUAAGCUUCAGCUCACGAAGACCGUACCGUAAACCGACACAGGUGGGUAGGAUGAGAAUUCUCAGGCGCUUGAGAGAACUCGGGUGAAGGAACUAGGCAACAUGGCACCGUAACUUCGGGAGAAGGUGCACCCUUUUUGGUGGCUCAUGCGAGCUAUAGCUGAAGAGGGUCGCAGAAACCAGGCCGCUGCGACUGUUUAUCAAAAACACAGCACUCUGCAAACACGAAAGUGGACGUAUAGGGUGUGACGCCUGCCCGGUGCUGGAAGGUUAAUUGAUGGGGUCAGCCGCAAGGCGAAGCUCUUGAUCGAAGCCCCAGUAAACGGCGGCCGUAACUAUAACGGUCCUAAGGUAGCGAAAUUCCUUGUCGGGUAAGUUCCGACCUGCACGAAUGGCGUAACGACAGCGGCGCUGUCUCCACCCGAGACUCAGUGAAAUUGAAAUCGCUGUGAAGAUGCAGCGUUCCCGUGGCAAGACGGAAAGACCCCGUGAACCUUUACUAUAGCUUUACACUGAACGUUGAGUUCGUCUGUGUAGGAUAGGUGGGAGGCUAUGAAACUGUGGCGCUAGCUGCAGUGGAGCCAACCUUGAAAUACCACCCUGUCGUGCUUGACGUUCUAACCUAGAUCCGUUAUCCGGAUCAGGGACCGUGUAUGGUGGGUAGUUUGACUGGGGCGGUCUCCUCCUAAAGAGUAACGGAGGAGCACGAAGGUACGCUCAGCGCGGUCGGACAUCGCGCACUGUGUGCAAAGGCAUAAGCGUGCUUGACUGCAAGAUCGACGGAUCAAGCAGGUACGAAAGUAGGUCUUAGUGAUCCGGUGGUUCUGUAUGGAAGGGCCAUCGCUCAACGGAUAAAAGGUACUCCGGGGAUAACAGGCUGAUACCGCCCAAGAGUUCAUAUCGACGGCGGUGUUUGGCACCUCGAUGUCGGCUCAUCACAUCCUGGGGCUGUAGUCGGUCCCAAGGGUAUGGCUGUUCGCCAUUUAAAGUGGUACGCGAGCUGGGUUCAGAACGUCGUGAGACAGUUCGGUCCCUAUCUGCCAUGGGCGUUGGAAGUUUGAGAGGGGCUGCUCCUAGUACGAGAGGACCGGAGUGGACGAACCUCUGGUGUUCCGGUUGUCACGCCAGUGGCAUUGCCGGGUAGCUAUGUUCGGAAGCGAUAACCGCUGAAAGCAUCUAAGCGGGAAGCGCGCCUCAAGAUGAGACUUCCCGGGGCACAAGCCCCCUAAAGGAACCAUAUAGACUAUGUGGUUGAUAGGUCAGGUGUGUAAGUACAGCAAUGUAUUGAGCUAACUGAUACUAAUGAUCCGUGCGGCUUGACC
rnacentral:rRNA from 9 species